UACUGAGACAGAACGUGGUUUUGUUUUCGAUAUUAUUAACAUAAGUUGUAGCCCUCGACGAAGCCUGAAAACUCGAUAUCGGGUGAAGAUAUGACGGGCCGCGACGACGAAUAUACGUAUAUAUAAGAGUAGGGAACGGAGUAAGGUUCGCGAACCGAAACGAAACCAUCCAGACGAGCGAGUCGCGCGCAUGGUCGAACAGAGAAGAAGGAGCAGCGGAAUUUUCCCAGAGACGCGAAUCGUCACGCGAAAAGUGAAGUGUCGAAGUGAAGAGUCUCUGAAGUCUCUCCCUCUCUCUCUCUUUGGCACCACUCACUCUAUCUCUAUCUCUCUCUCCUCUCCUACCCCUCCUUCGAUCCCGACCUGUCCCACUACCUGACGAAGAGCGAGAGGCACACGCGGUUGCGAACGCAGACGCACGUGCGCCACCUCCUGCUCCUGCUCCUCUUGCUCCCCUUCCGGGACCACUCGCGAGUCGACCUGCUCGACGAGUUCGAGUUCCUGAAGCCGCCACCCCGAUUCUGAGAACGAAAGGUAGAUCUCGGUUUCUGCCACCUCGACUCCCACAGAUACGUGACGAUGCCUACGCGGUCCUUUCAAGUCUUCGUGUAGAGGUUCUACCUUCCACACAGCAGCAAACUCCACCUAAACCUCUUCUUCUUCCACCAGCACUGCCCCCUGCACUGCGGGAUGCUCCACGACGUCUCGCAGAGGUUCCACUACUUCAAACGCCUCGACAACCACCGGGGGUUGAGGGGCUGAGGCUCAUCUAUCUGCUACUACUACUACUGUUCGACUAUCCGUGUGUGUUGGUACCGUUCCUUCUUUGAUAACUUUCAAACAUUGAUCCCCCGGUUCCUUCUUCUCGCACGAACCCAGAUUAACCAACUAGAUAGAUGAGUUUUCCUUUUUUUUGUCGGGCAGGUAUGUACGUCGUACGAAAUCCCGCGCAAACCAAUGGACGUAGCAAAAAACGGUGAAACGUAUGAACAGGGUCAACCUGGACUGUCUCGUAUACGUCUCUUUUUUGGUUGUAGACGUACAACUAACCAACGGACGUACGGAAGAGGAACGUAGGAUUGCUACGGAGAUGCGUGGCACAAACCAACGAGCGUAACAUACACCAGUCUAUUUACGUACAACAAACCAACGAACGUA
rnacentral:rRNA from 1 species